rnacentral:lncRNA from 1 species
UUCACUAUAUAUGGAUCUUCCACGGUAUUUCUGAUGUGUUGAUAUUUAUAAUACAAUUAAUAUAUGUAAUUCUAAUUUUUUUUUUUUGAGAAAUAGGUAGCACGCUACUGCUUCGUUUAUUUUAAUUUAGAAAUAAACUUAGCUAGAAAUGUGAAUCAACUAGGAUUCGAACUUGGGUCUCAGAUACCAACCAUCAAGUCCUUUGUCACUUACUCUAGAGACGGUAGUUUAUGUAAUUCUAAUUAUUGAUGUGUUGAUAUUUAUGAUACAAUAUAUGUAAUUCUAAUUAUUGAUGUGUAGACGUUUAUGAUUCUAAUUAUUUAUG